GGAAGUUCUUUAACCGCUGAAGAGCUCGCUAGCUAACGAGAACAAUCUUCGCCUCGUUAACAGUUCGGAUUGCUCUCAGCAGUGAUUCAAAUUAAAAUAGGCUCGUUGGGACGUUAGCAUACUUUGUAAAAAUUGGCAUAGUAUCAAGGGGCCUUACUCAGCACUGGCCUACAGUAUUAUGAACACAGAUUCACAAAUGGCUACCUAUAUUGAAGCUUGCAGAAGAAAAGUCCAACAAUCUCUCCAUGUCGUAUCCGAAAGAAAAAAAUUAGCUAGAUGCAAAUGAAAGGACCUUAAUAGAGGACUAUAGACUCAAUGAAAAAUUAAAAAUAUGGAAUCUUAACAAGCUUUGGCAACUCACUGAUUUUAUUGUCUGUUACACAAAUAGUUCACAAUAUGUAAUUUGUUUUGUGGCAAUAAAUCUCUCUCUGUGUAA